rnacentral:rRNA from 1 species
CCUACGGGUGGCAGCAGUGAGGAAUAUUGGUCAAUGGGCGCGAGCCUGAACCAGCCAAGUCGCGUGAGGGAAGAAGGUCCUCUGGAUUGUAAACCUCUUUUGUCGGGGAGCAAAAGACGCCACGCGUGGCGUUCCGAGAGUACCCGAAGUACAAGCAUCGGCUAACUCCGUGCCAGCAGCCGCGCUAAUACGGGGGAUGCGAGCGUUAUCGGGAUUUAUUGGGGUUAACGGGAGCGUAGGCGGGCCUUCAGGCCGGCGGUAAAAGUGCGGGGCUCAACCCCGCCGAGCCGUCGGAACCGGGUGCCUUGAGUACCGGAGAAGGACGCGGAAUGCGUGGUGUAGCGGUGAAAUGCAUAGAGAUCACGCAGAACCCCGAGUGCGAAGGCGACCUGCUAGAACAUAACUGACGCUGAUGUGCGAAAGCGUGGGGAGCAAACAGGAUUAGAUACCCCGGUAGUC